AUACGGAGGGAGCGAGCGUUAAUCGGAAUUACUGGGCGUAAAGCGCGCGUAGGCGGCUUUGUAAGUCGGAUGUGAAAGCCCAGGGCUCAACCUGGGAACUGCAUUCGAUACUGGCAGGCUAGAGUAUAGUAGAGGCAAGUGGAAUUCCGGGUGUAGCGGUGAAAUGCGUAGAUAUGCGGAGGAGCAUCAGUGGCGAAGGCGACUUGCUGGACUAAUACUGACGCUGAGGUGCGAAAGCGUGGGGAGCAAACAGGAUUAGAAACCCCGGUAGUCC
rnacentral:rRNA from 1 species